GGUUUUAAUGCCCUAGUCUACCUGGAAAAUUAAAGGAAACAGGGAUGAAAUAUUAAAGCAUGUAAUUUUUCCAUGCAGAGUAGAGCUAACCAAAAUUAAAAAGGAAGAUCAAAGCAUACGAUUUGCCAUGUAAAGGAAUGUGUAACAUGUAGUUUGUUUUCCACAUUAGCAUUAGGAAUCAAACUGUAGAAGUAAUUUGUACAUCCAAGAACCAGUUUCACAAACCAUACUGAGUUUUCAGACAAAGUAUCAUGAUUUUAUAAACAUAUCUACCAUUCUAAGGUUAUUAUUAAAUCAAGAAAGAAAAUCUCAACACACUAUAAACAAAAUAGAAUAUCUAUUUUCACUCAGACAUUUUUUUCCACUUGAUAAUACUUCUUUAGGAAUAUUGAUACACUUGUUCAGGGACCUGUGUAACCAUUGAAAAAUUUUAGUACUAUCUUCUAAUUACACAUUUGGAUUGUUAAAUGAGAAAUGUAUAAUCCUAAAAUCAGUUUCUGCAAUUUAAAUGGAUAAAAUAUAGGAGAUUUUCUUAUAUGUCUUUUAAUUAUACAUCUUUCAUUUAAUUUCAUUUCAUUUGAAUAUGUUUAUAUCUUCAGAUAAAAAGAGAAAUUUUACAAAACACUAUUGAAACACACUUUGUAUUAACAAUUCAUUUAGAAGGUAAUUAAAACGGAUCUACAUCCUUUUACAGUGCUGUGGGAAAGAACUCCAGGAAGUAAAAUUAUGAGUUGGUAGUAGGACCAUGUGUUUAGCAUGCACUGGGUUCAAACAGACAGAAAGGAAGAAAUAUGAGGAGGAAGAGAGGCAGGCAUAAAAAAAAGAAUAGAGAGGAAAGAAGGAGAGCAGGAAGGAGGAAAAGAAGGCAAAGAAAGACAGAGAGAAUACAUUCAUUAUCAGAAGAUUAAAAAAAUGUUAGUUACAUGAUGGUCAGUUUGGGGGUUCUAAGAGUGCACCUCAGUGUUAGAGAAGACAACAGUUAAAACAGAGGGCAUAAAUGUACCCAAAUGUGUACAGUACCACAAUAACCUAUACAGUCAUCAUAUGCAAAUGAUUAGCUUGUUUAAAAUGUUCACACUUUGGUUUUCCUUAUGCAUAUACAAAUAGCAGUGUGUUCACAAGCAAUGCUAACACCGCCCUCUAUGUUUAUAACAAAUCUAUUGUAUGAAGAGAGUUAAAAUAAAAUGACAUCCAAGGCACCAUUCCCCUUGCUCCUCUUAGCUUCAAACUGCUAGUCAGUGAUGUUUAGUUCUAUGAUAUUAUUUGUUCUAUUUAAUACCUCCUGUUUUUUUUACCAUAAUUAUAUUUUAAAUCCUCAUUUCCUUUCCUCAAAAGAUAUAGAAAUUACUGUUCAGCAAAACCUGGCCAAAAGUAAAACAUAUGUAUUUCUCAAAGACAUAAUUAAUACAUAUUGGUUAUGGGUGAUUCCUUGGCUUUAUGUUGUUUACUUGGGAAAUUUAAUGGUUUAACAUGUUUUUUUUUGUAUUGUACAUAAAAUUACCUAGAAAUGCACUUUUACCCCACAAUGUAGGUUCGUGAAUAGAUUUAGCAUGAUGAAGCUGUCUUUACAGUGAAUGUUCCCCCAUGUAGAGAAAGCAAACUAGAUAUAGUUACCACAUGAGAAUUUAAUUAGAUGUUGAAAAAAAAUCAUUUGUCUGGAAAAAAUAAAACAUUGAAUUCCCCCAA
rnacentral:lncRNA from 1 species